UGGUUCGCUCAGUUGGUCCAUGGGGUCCACCUUUCGCUAAUUACUAAACAUUGCUAUAUGAAUUGAUACAGCAAACAGGACAACAUUCASUUGUUGGACACAAUUGACAACGAAAGUACUGUCUUUAUCUCUUGUGAAAAUAACUUGAAAUCAAAGAUCCGAAAUGAACCGUUAUCUGUUGGUGUUUCUGGUCGUAGCGUGUUUGGUUGCAGGCAGUUGUGGACGGCGUCCUCCGGGCUUUAACCGUCGAAACGACGACCGUGACCGCCAUAUUGAAGGACGGCUUGCGGCUGUCUUGAAAAGGAGCGACGAAUGUGAAUGUCCGAACGGACAAGAAGGAUUCUGGUCAUGGGGCUGCCCGAAUGGGAUGCCAGAUUGCAAAUCACUACCAGGAGACCCAAACAUCAAAUGUUGUUACCGGCCAUAAUUGAAGAAAAAUAAAAUACAAUCCACAAAUUAAAUGGUAUUGCAAUCUACGAGUUAAAUAGUAUCACAAUCCACAAGUUGUUGAAUGCUAAAAUAAUGAACUUUACACAAAAUAAUGACAUAUAAAUAAAUAAGUGGUAUAGAUACAUUGAA